AGUGAACGCUGGCGGUAGGCCUAACACAUGCAAGUCGAACGGCAGCACAGUAAGAGCUUGCUCUUACGGGUGGCGAGUGGCGGACGGGUGAGGAAUACAUCGGAAUCUACUUUUUCGUGGGGGAUAACGUAGGGAAACUUACGCUAAUACCGCAUACGACCUACGGGUGAAAGCAGGGGAUCUUCGGACCUUGCGCGAUUGAAUGAGCCGAUGUCGGAUUAGCUAGUUGGCGGGGUAAAGGCCCACCAAGGCGACGAUCCGUAGCUGGUCUGAGAGGAUGAUCAGCCACACUGGAACUGAGACACGGUCCAGACUCCUACAGGAGGCAGCAGUGGGGAAUAUUGGACGAUGGACGCAAGCCUGAUCCAGCCAUACCGCGUGAGUGAAGAAGGCCUUCGGGUUGUAAAGCCCUUUUGUUGGGAAAGAAAAACAGCAGGUUAAUACCCCGCUGUUCUGACGGUACCCAAAGAAUAAGCACCGGCUAACUUCGUG
rnacentral:rRNA from 1 species